AACUAGGUUGUAACCAGUUAAUGUGAUUCAGGAAAGGCUGUAAGGUGGAUAGAAGCUUUCCCUCUUUGCCUUGCUGCACAGGUUACUGUUUUUCCAGACCUCACAUGUGAGACCAGUUAACACAGGCUCAGCAAUUAGGCUGUGAAGUCACCUGAUUAAGUGAGGGGCAACAGCAGGUUUUGGGGCUGAUUGACUUCAGUAGGGCUGCAGCUAACAGCCUGAAACGCUACUUUCCCAGUUCUGCUGGGCUCCUUCUCUUGGACAAACCAGCACCAGCUUUUCAGCAAAGCAGGGAGUUCCUCUGGGGCCCAGUCCGAAGCACCGGUCUGGCAGCUGCGACGUACCAAUGCUUCCUGCUCCCGUGAGUCUCCUUCUGUUGUUUUUGCAGAAUUCCUGUGCUCGAAUGGUUUGGUUUUGGCAGAGGAUUUUUUCUCUUUUCUUUUUCCCUCCCUUUUUUUUUUGUUUUGUUUUGUUUUGAGGUGGCUUUGGGAGAAAUGAAGAGGGAAUUGCAGAUGAAGGGCUUCAGGAUUUGACUUGUCCCUUGUUCUCUCUGAGCAAGACCAGAGGCUUACAGAGACUAAGGGUAGUGAACAGAUCUGAAGUGUAGUCAUAUCCUGUCUUAGUUGGGUAAACACAUUCUGAUUCAGCGAGAGCUUUGUCUGAACAAGGACAGAAAAGUUGGGCCCUGAACAAGGAAAUAAUUUAUAUAAGUCUUAACGAAUAUUUAAUAUGGAGCAUUAAUUAAAAAAAGAGGAGUAUGUAUUUAUGUAUUUUGAUGUCCUGCCUUGGAGUGACAGAUCACUGGGUGUCUUCUUGGCCUGAGGAGGACCACCACCUGGCUGACUGCUCAUGUGUGUCGGUCCAAUGAGAGCAUCCUAUGGUAGCAGUACCCCUUUAAAGAAACAGCUAUAGAUGAAAAGGAGAUGCAUUUAUAGUGAAUUAUUGCUUUGAUUAAUACUUGGAUUGUCUAUUUAUCAACAUUGCUGUACUAUGGGAAAAGAAAGGCACUAAGUAAACAGAGCAGUAAGCAGAGGUUUCCAGGUGUUUGUUACAUAAACACAACUAUUAAGAUAAUAUAACUACAUGUAAAUGCAGAAAUCUUUAACAUUUUGUGCACUGCAGUGACAUUUAUUUGAGGGUAGGUGGUUUUGCUGAGGUGCUGCUCUAAGUCCUUCCAUCCUCUUGCGCCGUUCCCAUCUCCCAUACAGGGCCAACAGGGCAGCUGUGCAGUGCAGGGGCUGCACAUGCAGCGUGUUCCAGCCAUAAAAACAUCUCAUUCUAUGCACUGACACAGAAACAGAGGUGAAUUUCCUGGGUGCAGUCAUAAUGCCAGCAAUGAAUAUGUUGUAAACUGACUUUUCUUGUAGCAGUGAAAGCAUUUGAGAAUAAACCACAUUUGCUUUCAAGGAGAGUUUUUAAA
rnacentral:lncRNA from 1 species